rnacentral:rRNA from 1 species
CGCCCAUUAAAGUGAUACGCGAGCUGGGUUCAGAACGUCGUGAGACAGUUCGGACUCUAUCCAGUGCAGGCGCUUAGAUUCUUGAGGAGGCUCUUUCCUAGUACGAGAGGACCGGAAAGAGGGAAUCCCUGGUGUACCGGUUGUCCCAAAAGGGCAUCGCCGGGUAGCUAUAUUCCUAUGAGAUAAGUACUGAAUGCAUCUCAAGUACGAAGCUCACUCCAAGAUGAGGAAUCUUUAUUUAGUCCGCAGGAAGAUUACCUGUUUGAUAGGUACUAGGUGUAAGUGUAGUAAUACAUUUAGCCGAGGUAUACUAACGGACAAUUCUCCCAUCUCU